CAGUACAGGUGGUGUAAUAACAUCCAGUACAGUAGGUGUAGUAUCAUCCAGUACAGUUGGUGUAAUAACAUCCAGUACAGUUGGUGUAAUAACAUCCAGUACAGUUGGUGUAUUAACAUCCAGUACAGUAGGUGUAAUAACAUCCAGUACAGUUGGUGUAAUAACAUCCAGUACAGUUGGUGUAAUAACAUCCAGUACAGUAGGUGUAAUAACAUCCAGUACAGUAGGUGUAAUAACAUCCAGUGCAGUAGGUGUAAUAACAUCCAGUGCAGUAGGUGUAAUAACAUCCAGUACAGUAGGUGUAAUAACAUCCAGGGCAGUAGGUGUAAUAACAUCCAGUGCAGUAGGUGUAAUAACAUCCAGUACAGUUGGUGUAAUAACAUCCAGUACAGUUGGUGUAAU